rnacentral:rRNA from 1 species
CCCUCAGGAGGGGGAUAACGGCUGGAAACGGCCGCUAUUACCCCAUAUGCCGAGAGGUGAAACGAAUUUCGCCUGAGGAUGAGCUCGCGUCUGAUUAGCUAGUUGGUAGGGUAAAGGCCUACCAAGGCAUUGAUCAGUAGCUGGUCUGAGAGGAUGAUCAGCCACACUGGGACUGAGACACGGCCCAGACUCCUACGGGAGGCAGCAGUGGGGAAUUUUCCACAAUGGGCGCAAGCCUGACGGAGCAACGCCGCGUGAGGGAUGAAGGCCUCUGGGCUGUAAACCUCUUUUAUCAAGGAAGAAGAUCUGACGGUACUUGAUGAAUAAGCCACGGCUAAUUCCG